rnacentral:rRNA from 1 species
GAUGAACGCUGGCUGCGUGCCUAAUACAUGCAAGUCGAGCGAAGCGGGGACGGGUGAGUAACACGUGGAUAACCUCCUAUAAGACUGGGAUAACUUCGGGAAACCGGAGCUAAACCGGAUCCUUAUAGAUGGAUCCGCGCUGCAUUCGCGAUUUGGUAAGGUAACGGCGUACCAAGGCAACGAUGCAUAGCCGACCUGAGAGGGUGAGCGGGCACACGGGAACUGAGACACGGUCCAGACUCCUACGGGAGGCAGCAGUAGGGAAUCUGCCGCAAGGGGCGAAAGCCUGACGGAGCAAAGCCGCGUGAGUGAUGAAGGUCUGCGGAUCGUAAAACUAUGUUAUUAGGGAAUCGGUACCUAAUCAGAAAGCCACGGCUAACUACGUGCCAGCAGCCGCGGUAAUAC